GUCUGAGGUCUGGGUGCUGGGGACUGGGCUCUGGAAUUAUUUAAAUAUGCCCAAGCUGCUUUCAUAUCAACAUUUUCUAAAUUUUUUUCUGUUUUUUGUUUUUUUUGUCAUCUACGUCAUUUCUGUUUUUCAGCAAGAAAUAUUAAAAAAUUCGAGUGCCCACUGAAUUGAGUUACAGUUACAUCAAGAAGAUGCGUGAGGAAGGGCGCGUGGAGGGCGCAGAGAGGGCCAAGACUAGGGAAACAGUCUUGACAUUUAAUUGCUAGCUCUUGCGCAUAGAGCUUGGCCAGAGCCUCGCUAAAUGUCCAGCAAUGCGCCGUCCACCACUUUGCUCCAGGAAAACCCGUUUCAAUGGACUCGCGGCUGCCCUCAGCCCGCUAGCCGCAGCCACGCAGCUGGAGGAGCUGAAGAUG